rnacentral:rRNA from 1 species
GCACCGGCUAACUACCGUGCCAGCAGCCGCGGUAAUACGGAGGGUGCGAGCGUUAAUCGGAAUUACUGGGCGUAAAGCGCAUGCAGGCGGCCGUGUUAAGUCAGAUGUGAAAGACCCGGGGCGUUAACCUCGGAAUUGCAUUUGUAAACUGGCAGGCUAGAGUCUUGUAGAGGGGGGUAGGAAGUUUCAGGUGUAGCGGUGAAAUAGCGUAGAGAUCUGAAGGAAUACCAGUGGCGAAGGCGGCCCCCUCGGACAAAGACUGACGCUCAGAUGCGAAAGCGUGGGGAGCAAACAGGAUUAGAUACCCCUGGUAG